CAAGUCGAGGGGCAGCACAGGUAGCAAUACCGGGUGGCGACCGGCGCACGGGUGAGUAACGCGUAUGCAACUUGCCUAUCAGAGGGGGAUAACCCGGCGAAAGUCGGACUAAUACCGCAUGAAGCAGGGGCCCCGCAUGGGGGUAUUUGCUAAAGAUUCAUCGCUGAUAGAUAGGCAUGCGUUCCAUUAGGCAGUUGGCGGGGUAACGGCCCACCAAACCGACGAUGGAUAGGGGUUCUGAGAGGAAGGUCCCCCACAUUGGUACUGAGACACGGACCAAACUCCUACGGGAGGCAGCAGUGAGGAAUAUUGGUCAAUGGGCGUAAGCCUGAACCAGCCAAGUCGCGUGAGGGAUGAAGGUUCUAUGGAUCGUAAACCUCUUUUAUAAGGGAAUAAAGUGCGGGACGUGUCCCGUUUUGUAUGUACCUUAUGAAUAAGGAUCGGCUAACUCCGUGCCAGCAGCCGCGGUAAUACGGAGGAUCCGAGCGUUAUCCGGAUUU
rnacentral:rRNA from 1 species